rnacentral:tRNA from 1 species
GGCCAGGUAGCUCAGUAGGUACGAGCGUCCGCCUGAAAAGCGGAAGGUCGGCGGUUCGACCCCGCCCCUGGCCA